AAACUACUCCCUCCGUUCCGAACUACUUGUCGCAGGUGCGGAUGUAUCUAGAUGUAUUUUAAUUUUAGAUAUAUCCAUUUUUACGACGAGUAAUUUGGAACGAAAAGAGUACAUA
rfam:Triticum aestivum genome assembly, contig: Triticum_aestivum_CS42_TGACv1_scaffold_569266_7AS